rnacentral:rRNA from 1 species
UUGAACGCUGGCGGCGUGCCUUACACAUGCAAGUCGAACGGCAGCAUGAUCUAGCUUGCUAGAUUGAUGGCGAGUGGCGAACGGGUGAGUAAUACAUCGGAACGUGCCCUGUAGUGGGGGAUAACUAGUCGAAAGAUUAGCUAAUACCGCAUACGACCUGAGGGUGAAAGUGGGGGACCGCAAGGCCUCAUGCUAUAGGAGCGGCCGAUGUCUGAUUAGCUAGUUGGUGGGGUAAAGGCCCACCAAGGCGACGAUCAGUAGCUGGUCUGAGAGGACGAUCAGCCACACUGGGACUGAGACACGGCCCAGACUCCUACGGGAGGCAGCAGUGGGGAAUUUUGGACAAUGGGGGCAACCCUGAUCCAGCAAUGCCGCGUGUGUGAAGAAGGCCUUCGGGUUGUAAAGCACUUUUGUCCGGUAAAG